rnacentral:lncRNA from 1 species
UCCCUGGCCGUGCGCGCCGCGUCAGCCCCCUUGGCAGAGCAGCGCGCCGAUGAGUGUGGCCACGCUUGGAGAACGCAGCGCUGGAGCUGGCCCCAGGCGGGCAGUGGCCUCGGGCGAGGGCAGAAGGGCACUCCUGGGCUGUGAAUAGAACACUUGCUUAUCCCUUCAGAGGACAAGCCGGUGGCAGGCCUGGAGCCCCCAGUGACGGGGUCACCUACAGGAAUUGCUUCUCUUAGCAAGGUGAGUGCAGUGCGGGAUCCAGUUAGUUGCGUCGCCCGCCGCCCCGCUGGCAGAGGCCCAAUUUUGUUCAGGUGUUUGCCAUCCCACAUUGUUAGAGCAGACCUCCCACCAGGGCUGGAGUGGAACUUGAUCGGGCUAAUACGGUAGGACUCACUUCUGGGUAUACAUUUGGAACAGCUGGGGAACUUUGAAAACUUGUUAAAAUACUGUUGCCAGGAGUUGGAAUUUUGUUUCCAAAGUUCCCAGGCGAUUCCACUGUGCAGGCGGGGCUGAGAACUACUGGUCUAAACCAAUCCCGGCAAUCCCCUUCCUCUUACAGUGAUUGGUUUAAGUGUGGUCAUGUGAUACACGCCUGGCCAAUGAGAAAUUCUC